rfam:Ornithorhynchus anatinus chromosome 3, whole genome shotgun sequence.
GUCCUUUCUUGGAUUUUUGGCUAAGAUCAAGUGCAUUAUCUGUUCUUAUCAGUUUAAUCUGUGAUACAUCAUUUAUUCAAGGACAAAACAUUAAAUUGACCUUGGGAAGAGGGAUAUGAAAUUGGAGCUAGUUCUGUCCACUCCACAAAUUGACCUGGUAUUGCAGUGUUUCUAGGAGCUGUACAUCUUGC